AGUUUUCUCUCAACCUGCUAACUUAUCUCUCCAAUCUCACACAUCCUCUCUGCAAUCCUCUCAUCAUCAACCCCAUCAUCAAUGUCAAUCAGAAGAGAUUUCAAGACACCAAUCAGAGAUGGAUUAGCAGCUCGUAAAGAGAUUUCGUUGUUCCAAUGUGUCGUUGGACAUGGAUUGUUUCUCGAUAUGGCCACAGCUGUUGUUAUUGCUGGCAAAGAAGGUGUUAGUGUUAAAAGCAAGUGAGAAUGUUCAAUGUUCAAUGGGAAUUUCAAGAAUCGGAGGUUCUCUGUGGGAGUGGAGAAUGAAGAAAGGUAAACAAAGUGGAAGGUGUGGAAUCGGCAGACUUACAGAUUGUGUAAAAGGAUUGCUUUAUGAAUUAGUCUUUUAGUUCGAAAGUUUUUGAGAACAUUUCCUUAGAGAUGGUUCUCAGAGAUUGGCAAGCUGCAAACUUGUAAGUUGUAACCAGCUUGUUUGCAUAUCACUGCAGCUGUUUCACAGUCUUCGUGAUGCAGUCUGUCUUUUAAUAGUCUUUGCCGUUUCGCGAAAAAGAAAGAUCAUCAAUCUAUGGAGAAAGUUCUUCCUGAAGAUAUUAGUAUCCAAGACAUGGGAGUACUUCAUCACUCGUCUGUCUAUGUUUUAUUCUCCUUCUUCAGAUUUGAAUGGUAGUUUCGUUUCAACAUGGUUACUAGAGAAUACAUAUAGUUACCAAUGUGUCUGACAAAAUGUUUGAAAGGGAGAAAUGUAUUUGGAUUUGGUUACAACGACGAGACGAAUGAGUAUAAGGUGGUUAGAAUCUAAUAUGAACCACAGGAACAUGCAGAACCAGGACAAGUCCAGGUAUACACUCUUGGGGCUGGUACUUAGUGGGGAAACAAAGGAGAGAUUGCUUAUUCGUUGCAAACCAAUAAUUUUUAUUCGCUGGGUAAAAAUGCAGAUGGAGAGGUUUACUGGUUGCACCAAAGGGAUAAUGAGGAAAGAUCGUGUCCCUGGUAAACUAAUGUAGUCGAACAGUGGUAGAUUGUGGCCUUCAAUUUUGCAUAUGAGGUAUUCCGGUCUCAACAAACCCCUUAGAGGGUGUGCUUGAGAGUGCAAAGAGUAAUCAUUUGGAAACUCACAUGUGAUGGAUGCAUGUAUCCUUGUAAAUGAAGUUGCUCGUUGCAAGUGUUUGUGUUAGUGAUUUAGCGUUCUGUUAGAAUAUGUUUGUUUGGGUGGUGCAGGCUAUUAUUACUUUACAUGGUCAACAUGCAUUAUCAAGUGGAGCAAUUUAUUGCAAAUUUCGCGGUGGCCAUGGUUGAGAUCUUUGCAAGUUUCUGUUACAUGAUUUCAUCUUAUAAGUGGAUUGUGGAGGUUGUGCGUGAUCUUAUGGUUAUAAGCUUGUGAGUGAAUGACUGAUUUUCUUAGUUACUGCUUUCCAUCCAUGCUGAAGCUGAAGCGACUAACAGAAUCAAUAGCAACAAACUCUUCUUUCUGGCUUAAAUUUUAAAGUAGAAAUCUAGAAGCCAGCACUGAGAACUAGAAAUCUAGCAGCCAGCACCGACUUUCUAGGGGUUACUCUGCCCAAAAUCUGUGAAAAAGGCACAAGAAGAGUGGACUGCUACAGUAUUUAAUAACAUCUUUCAAAAGUAACUUCAAGUAAGACGCAUCAAAGUCUGCCGUUUAUGCCCAAGCCAAAGCUCCUUGUUGUCUGAUAGCUACUAGCGCUGUUCGAAAUCCCUAAGGCGGAAAUAUGACUAUUCCAGAUUCCAAGGAACUGGCGAAGUAAGAAGUUUUCAAAUGCAAGUCCAUUUCGUCAACCCAAUGGGCAAUCAGAACAAAGUUAGUCGGAGGCUCAGGUCACCUUGAAAUUUUGUAAUGGUAUUCGUCUUCAAACAUUCUAUCGAAGUAUUUUGCCUUGAGAAGCACUCUGUCAGUUAAAACAUGGCCAGGAAAAUAUAAUCUUAAAAAUCAGAAGUUCAUCAUCCAUCCUUUUAUCUAUUGAUGGCUAAACUAGUUCACUUUUGUUUUUUUAUAUGUGCUGUGCUUUUUGUUUCUUCUGUUUGAAAUGUGGAAUUUCAAUCCAGAGUUCUGACUCCAUAACUCUUGCAUGAUAGUCUGAGAACAGCUUGUCGCACUAUCAAGACAACAGUGUCAUAUAUAGGUUCACUUUGUCAUAAGAAUAAAUUUACUGUAUGUUUCUGUCGUAAUCUUCUUGUUUUUCAUUUAGGGCUAAACCUUAUACUAGACCUGGUUUGAGCCAACACUGGCCCGACCUUAUGUUCUCAGUGCUCUUAACAUACAAUUAUUACCAAUUGCUAACCAAAUCAGUACAGUCUUUCCUAAUCUACAAGAAUUGCCAAAUUUUAAUUUCUAACGUGUGUUAAUUUUUUUAAACUGUCAUCUAAUAUGAUUAGUCUUAGACUAAGUGGUUAUUUAGGUAUGCAUGAGCUUCCGUGUUAUCUAAUAUACUAUCUCUUAGGUUAAGGCGGUUAUAGA